AUUGAACGCUGGCGGCAGGCCUAACACAUGCAAGUCGAACGAGUGGCGGACGGGUGUGUUAUGUCUGGGACAUUGCCUGAGGGAGGGGGUUAACUACUGGAAACGGUAGCUAAUACCGCAUUCCACCAUAUGUGCCCAGAUGGGACUAGCCAGUGUGUGGGGUAACGGCUCACCAAGGCGACGAUCCCUAGCUGGUCUGAGAGGAUGACCAGCCACACUGGAACGGAGACACGGUCCAGACUCCUACGGGAGGCAGCAGUGGGGAAUAUUGCACAAUGGGCGCAAGCCUGAUGCAGCCAUGCCGCGUGUAUGAAGAAGGCCUUCGGGUUGUAAAGUACUUUCAGCGGGGAGGCGUUACCCGCAGAAGAAGCACCGGCUAACUCCGUGCCAGCAGCCGCGGUAAUAC
rnacentral:rRNA from 1 species